rnacentral:rRNA from 1 species
UACAUGGGGUGCAAACGUUGCUCGGAAUCAUUGGGCGUAAAGCGUGCGUAGACGGCUAUCUAAGUCGGGUGUGAAAGCCCCGGGCUCAACCUGGGAAUUGCAUUCGAGACUGAAUAGCUAGGGUGCGGUAGAGGGAAGCGGAAUUUCCGGUGUAGCGGUGAAAUGCGUAGAUAUCGGAAGGAACAUCAGUGGCGAAAGCGGCUUCCUGGACCAGCACCGACGUUCAGGCACGAAAGCGUGGGGAGCAAACAGG